rfam:Felis catus isolate Cinnamon breed Abyssinian chromosome X, whole genome shotgun sequence.
GCCUGGGUGGCUCAGUUGGUUAAGCAUCUGACUUCAACUCAGGUCAUGAUCUCAAGGUUCGUGAGUUUGAGCCCCAUGUCAGGCU